rnacentral:rRNA from 1 species
GACGAACGCUGGCGGCGUGCUUAACACAUGCAAGUCGAGCGGAAAGGCUCCUUCGGGGGUACUCGAGCGGCGAACAGGUGAGUAACACGUGAGUAAUCUGCCCUGUGCUCUGGGAUAGCCACCGGAAACGGUGAUUAAUACCGGAUACAACCACUAUCCGCAUGGGUUGGUAGUGGAAAGUUUUUUCGGCACAGGAUGUGCGCGCGGCCUAUCAGCUUGUUGGUGAGGUAAUGGCUCACCAAGGCUUUGACGGGUAGCCGGCCUGAGAGGGUGACCGGUCACACUGGGACUGAGACACGGCCCAGACUCCUACGGGAGGCAGCAGUGGGGAAUAUUGGACAAUGGGCGGAAGCCUGAUCCAGCAACGCCGCGUGAGGGAUGACGGCCUUCGGGUUGUAAACCUCUUUCAGUACCGACGAAGCGAAAGUGACGGUAGGUACAGAAGAAGGACCGGCCAACUACGUGCCAGCCGCCGCAGUAAUAC